rnacentral:rRNA from 1 species
UACGGUCGCAAGAUUAAAACUCAAAGGAAUAGACGGGGGACCCGCACAAGCGGUGGAGCAUGUGGUUUAAUUCGACGAUACGCGAAGAACCUUACCUGGCCUUGACAUAGAUAGAACUUUCCAGAGACGGAUUGGUGCUAGUUUACUAGAGCUAUCAUACAGGUGCUGCACGGCUGUCGUCAGCUCGUGUCGUGAGAUGUUGGGUUAAGUCCCGCAACGAGCGCAACCCUCGUGUUUAGUUACUAACAGUUCGGCUGAGGGCUCUAAACAGACUGCCUGGGUAACCAGGAGGAAGGUGAGGACGACGUCAAGUCAUCAUGGCCCUUACGGCCAGGGCUACACACGUGCUACAAUGGGGUAUACAAAGAGCAGCAAUACGGUGACGUGGAGCAAAUCUCAUAAAAUAUCUCCCAGUUCGGAUUGAAGUCUGCAACUCGACUUCAUGAAGUUGGAAUCGCUAGUAAUCGUAGAUCAGCAAUGCUACGGUGAAUACGUUCCCGGGUCUUGUACUCACCGCCCGUCACACCAUGGGAAUUGAAUUCAUUCGAAGCGGGGAUGCUAAAAUAGCUACCUUCCACAGUGGAUUUAGUAACUAGGGUGAAGUCGUAACAAGGUA